rnacentral:rRNA from 1 species
AAUGAACGUUGGCGGCGUGGAUUAGGCAUGCAAGUCGUACGAGAAUCGUAGCAAUACGAGGAAAGUGGCGGAAGGGAGAGGAUUACGUGGGAAUCUACCCUCAGAACUGGGAUAGCGGCGGGAAACUGCCGGUAAUACCAGAUAAUGUCUGUGGACCAAAGGUGUGAUUCCGUCUGGGGAUGAGCCCACGUCCUAUUAGCUAGUUGGCAGGGUCAUGGCCUACCAAGGCAAUGAUGGGUAGCGGGUGUGAGAGCAUGACCCGCCUCACUGGGACUGAGAACUGCCCAGAAACCAACGGGUAGCUGCAGUCGAGAAUCUUCGGCAAUGAGCGCAAGCUUGACCGAGCGACGCCGCGUGCGGGAUGAAGGCCUUCGGGUUGUAAACCGCUGUAGUAGGGGAGCAAGAGAUGAGGGUACUCCCUCUGAUUUGAGCGAUCCUAGGAGGAAGGACGGGCUAAGUUCGUGCCAGCAGCCGCAGUAAAAC